AAACCUACCUUCGAUCCUCAACUGCUCCAUUAAUGCCCCCUAGCAUGUACAAGUCCCCUUGUUAUACUCUUUAUUUAUUCCACCUCCAAUUUUUUUUCCGAGUUCUAUUCUUCGUCACAGGUUCACUGCUAUUACCUCGGUGCAAAAAAGUGCCAAAAAGUUCAGUUCAUACUAUUCUAAAUGUCCAUAUUGUAGAUAAUAUUUGUGCUGUCUUAAAUUUCUGGAAACAAGCUUCAGUACAAGAAAAAUGGGCCAGUCAGUUCAUCCAUAUGCAAACCCCCGUAACAAAACGUAUCUCUAAUCCAAUUAGGUGAGGAUGUGCAACAUAUGUUUAAGUAAAACAUUUAUACCAUGUUACAAAAGUAACUUACCCUGUUCCAUAGAAGAUUGAUUGAAUUUUUAAAAUAUAUUUUAGAAAAUAAGUGUGCACAAAGUAGCUCUCUCUCUUUCUAUUACUCUGUCUCAUGUGAUGUUACUGCUCCUAGUAUGUGAAAUUUCCUGCCAUAUUGACAAAAUGAGUGAAAUCUUAUGGUGUUCUCUGUGAAAUGGAGAUACCUAGUCUAACAAGAGUUCAAGUAUAGAAAAUGUGGCAGUGGCAAUUUUCAAAACCUUUAACUGUUGAAGUACAUAAGAAACACAAAGUCCAUUCUGCAAAAACAACAGUAGACGUGAUGUUCAAUUUUGCUAAAUUAUGCAAGUGGUAAUUCAUAUGGGUUUCCUUUGUGGUGAAGAUUUCAUCAGUACUGAUAGCUUAACUUAUUAUGUUAAUUCUAGUGCGGCACUAGCGAAGGUAGAAAUGUACUGAAUGUUCACACCUUUAAUCGUCUCAUUUUGUGAACACGCAUCAGUUCAGUAUGAAAAAGGAACAUAAUAAGUUAACUUUGCAAGUGAAUCAGUUCACCUUGAAUAAAAUACAGAAGUGCACCAUCAAGUUUUCCAUCAGUUCGCUUAUAAAAAAACAGAAAGUUGGUUGUGUAAAGAAAAUCGGAAAACCAAUGUCAGCCUAGAAGUUCACUAGGGGACUCCACGCAAGUGCACUCCUUAGAAAAUUUUGGGUUUACUAUAUUUUAUAGACUGCAGAAAUUUUGAACUUACUAUUUUGAAAUUUUCGUUGUCAUUAUCCAAAGUUGUACGCUGGACUAAAAGUUGUCUUUUUUGAUCUUUAGUUCUGACCUUUUUUUCUGAACUUACUAUUCUGUUUGUGUACAUUAUCCUCUCGUCAAUUUUGUGAUUUUAGACUAAGUUUCAGCCCUCGAGCAAGAGCUCGUCCACCACGGGUGCUUGCAGCCGUCCAAGUCUCAAUUUCUUCUCAGUUUUCAUGGAUGCUCGCCGGCCAUGCGUCCAGCAUGCUUGUGGCGAUAGCUGCCACCACUAACGGCAUUGGCGGCCAGCACGCCUGGAAUUGAGGCUUCGCCAAGGAACAAGACUGGUAACUAGCGCAAAGGAGACUAUGUUGAGAGGUGGCACUGCUAGACUUGCUGAUGUGUAGUUAUGGCAUAAAAAAGAUGAAAAAAAGGGUAUCUUCUAUGGUUCCAUAAGGUGUACGUAGCAAAUCUUCCCAUGUGGAUCAGUACAACUUAUGUA